UUUAUGGAGAGUUUGAUCCUGGCUCAGGAUGAACGCUGGCGGCGUGCCUAAUACAUGCAAGUCGAGCGAACGGACGAGAAGCUUGCUUCUCUGAUGUUAGCGGCGGACGGGUGAGUAACACGUGGAUAACCUACCUAUAAGACUGGGAUAACUUCGGGAAACCGGAGCUAAUACCGGAUAAUAUUUUGAACCGCAUGGUUCAAAAGUGAAAGACGGUCUUGCUGUCACUUAUAGAUGGAUCCGCGCUGCAUUAGCUAGUUGGUAAGGUAACGGCUUACCAAGGCAACGAUGCAUAGCCGACCUGAGAGGGUGAUCGGCCACACU
rnacentral:rRNA from 1 species